rnacentral:snRNA from 1 species
AGCUUUGCGCAGAGGUGAUAACGUGACCAAUGAGGCUCUGUCGAGGUGCGUUUAUUGCUGGUUGAAAACUUUUCUGUAUUGUGUAUUAUAUGUUAGACAGAGCGAAGGAAAGCAAAAGCCGGAAACAGCACGGAUA